GCCUUUGCACAGUGGCAGUAUCGUAGCCAAAGAGGUUUAACCGAGGCGCGGUUGUUGCUUAUUGAAAAGCUAUCCCAAUUAAUUUAUCUAAUUUACUUUAUAAGUAAAUUAAAUGAAAUGCUUACUUGACACAAAG